CUCAUGUUGCACUUUCUGCUCUUUGCAGUUUCAGUACUGCCCAGAAAUUAGACAAACUUGGGAUGAGAGGAAGUGAUACGUGUGAGCUUGUGUUUGAAAAUUGCUUUGUUCCGGAAGAAAAUGUUCUGGGAGAGGAAGGGAAAGGAGUUUAUGUCAUGAUGUCGGGCCUAGAUUUGGAAAGACUUGUUCUGGCUGCCGGACCUCUUGGAAUCAUACAGGCAUGUCUUGAUGUGGUACUUCUAUAUGUUCGUCAACGAGAG